rnacentral:rRNA from 1 species
CCAUCCAGAGGGGGAUUGACACACGGUCCCCACUCUUACGGGAGGCAGCAGCAGGGAAUCUUGUGCAAUGGGGGAAAGCCUGACCCAAGUUACGUCGCGUGGGGGAUGAAGGCCUUAGGGUUGUAAACCCCUUUUACCAGGGAAGAGAGAGGACGGUACCUGGGGAAUAAGCCCCGGCUAACUACGUGCCAGCAUCCGCGGUAAUACGUAGGGGGCAAGCGUUACCCGGAAUCACUGGGCGUAAAGAGCGCGUAGGCGGCUAGGUAAGUCUCUUGUGAAAGCUCACGGCUUAACUGGGAGAGGUCAAGAGAUACUACCUGGCUAGAGGGCAGUAGAGGAAGGCGGAAUUCUCGGUGUAGCGGUGAAAUGCGUAGAUAUCGGGAGGAACAACAGUGGCGAAAGCGGCCUUCUGGGCUGUGCCUGACGCUGAGGCGCGAGAGCGUGGGGAGCAAACUGGAUUAGAUACCCUGGUAGUC